rnacentral:rRNA from 1 species
AUUGAACGCUGGCGGCAGGCCUAACACAUGCAAGUCGAACGAGUGGCGGACGGGUGAGUACUGUCUGGGAAUCUGCCUGAUAGAGGGGGAUAACUACUGGAAACGGUAGCUAAUAACGCAUACCAUCAGAUGUGCCCAAAUGGGAUUAGCUUGUUGGUGGGGUAACGGCUCACCAAGGCGACGAUCCCUAGCUGGUCUGAGAGGAUGACCAGCCACACUGGGACUGAGACAUGGUCCAGACUCAUACGGGAGGCAGCAGUGGGGAAUAUUGCACAAUGGGCGCAAGCCUGAUGCAGCCAUGCCGCGUGUAUGAAGAAGGCCUUAGGGUUGUAAAGUACUUUCAGCGGGGAGGCGUGACCCGCAGAAGAAGCACCGGCUAACUCCGGGCCAGCAGCCGCGGGAAUAC